AGUUGAAUGGGUUAAUGAAUCCUGACCUGAGAGUCUCCAGUGUGCAGUGUGGACUCUUCAGUCCAACAGAGAUCAGCUUCCCUCCUGAAUCCUGCAGGUUGUUGUUACUCAGGUCCAGCUCUCUCAGACUAAAGGACUGGGAGCUAAGAACUGAGGACAGGGCUUCACAGCUUCUAUCUGACAGAUUACAGACACUCAGUCUCAGAAUCUCCAUUCUACAGAUUGGACUCU